CCUACGGGUGGCAGCAGUGAGGAAUAUUGGUCAAUGGCCGUAAGGCUGAACCAGCCAAGUAGCGUGAGGGAAGAAUGUCCUAAGGGUUGUAAACCUCUUUUAUGCGGGGACAAAGGUGUCCACGAGAGGAUGUCUGCAGGUACCGCAUGAAUAAGGAUCGGCUAAUUCCGUGCCAGCAGCCGCGGUAAUACGGAGGGUCCGGGCGUUAUCCGGAUUUAUUGGGUUUAAAGGGUGCGUAGGCGGGCCUUUAAGUCUGCCGUGAAAUUUUGUGGCUCAACCAUGGGAUUGCGGCGCGAACUGGGGACCUGUAGUGCGCGGAAGGCAGGCGGAAUGCGUGGUGUAGCGGUGAAAUGCGUAGAUAUCACGAAGAACCCCGAUUGCGAAGGCAGCCUGC
rnacentral:rRNA from 1 species